rnacentral:rRNA from 1 species
GAUGAACGCUGGCGGCGUGCUUAACACAUGCAAGUCGAGCGAAGCGAUUUUAAGGAAGCCUUCGGGUGGAAUUAAAAUUGACUUAGCGGCGGACGGGUGAGUAACGCGUGGGUAACCUGCCUCAUACAGGGGGAUAACAGUUAGAAAUGACUGCUAAUACCGCAUAAGCGCACAGUGCUGCAUAGCACAGUGUGAAAAACUCCGGUGGUAUGAGAUGGACCCGCGUCUGAUUAGGUAGUUGGUGAGGUAACGGCCCACCAAGCCGACGAUCAAUAGCCGAACUGGGAGGGUGACCGGCCACAUUGGGACUGGGACACGGCCCAAACUCCUACGGGAGGCAGCAGUGGGGAAUAUUGGACAAUGGGGGAAACCCUGAUCCAGCGACGCCGCGUGACUGAAGAAGGCCUUCGGGUUGUAAAGCUCUUUUAAUCGUGAAGAUAAUGACGGUAGCGAUAGAAAAAGCUCCGGCUAAAUUCGUGCCAGCCGCCGCGGUAA